rnacentral:rRNA from 2 species
UGAGGAAUAUUGGUCAAUGGGCGUAAGCCUGAACCAGCCAAGUCGCGUGAAGGAUGACUGCCCUAUGGGUUGUAAACUUCUUUUUUAGGGGAAUAAAGUGAGUCACGUGUGACUUUUUGUAUGUACCCUACGAAUAAGCAUCGGCUAACUCCGUGCCAGCAGCCGCGGUAAUACGGAGGAUGCGAGCGUUAUCCGGAUUUAUUGGGUUUAAAGGGUGCGUAGGCCGACUUUUAAGUCAGCGGUGAAAUUUUCCGGCUCAACCGGGACAUUGCCGUUGAAACUGAUAGUCUUGAGUGUAAAUGAGGUAGGCGGAAUGUGUGGUGUAGCGGUGAAAUGCUUAGAUAUCACACAGAACUCCAAUUGCGAAGGCAGCUUACUGGCAUACAACUGACGCUGAGGCACGAAAGUGUGGGUAUCAAACAGG